UGGGGAAUAUUGCGCAAUGGGGGGAAACCUGACGCAGCCAUGCCGCGUGAAUGAAGAAGGCCUUAGGGUUGUAAAGUUCUUUCGGUAUUGAGGAAGGUUGAUGUGUUAAUAGCACAUCAAAUUGACGUUAAAUACAGAAGAAGCACCGGCUAACUCCGUGCCAGCAGCCGCGGUAAUACGGAGGGUGCGAGCGUUAAUCGGAAUAACUGGGCGUAAAGGGCACGCAGGCGGUUAUUUAAGUGAGGUGUGAAAGCCCCGGGCUUAACCUGGGAAUUGCAUUUCAGACUGGGUAACUAGAGUACUUUAGGGAGGGGUAGAAUUCCACGUGUAGCGGUGAAAUGCGUAGAGAUGUGGAGGAAUACCGAAGGCGAAGGCAGCCCCUUGGGAAUGUACUGACGCUCAUGUGCGAAAGCGUGGGGAGCAAACAGGAUUAGAUACCCUGGUAGUCCACGCUGUAAACGCUGUCGAUUUGGGGGUUGGGGUUUAACUCUGGCGCCCGUAGCUAACGUGAUAAAUCGACCGCCUGGGGAGUACGGCCGCAAGGUUA
rnacentral:rRNA from 1 species